UCGGCCUCGCCUGCAAGGAGAUCCACAUCGGCGGCCACCGCGGGUGGCGCCUCCGCGUGCUCGAGGCUUUCGUCAUCAUCCUCGCCUUCACGCAGCUGCUCUACGUGCUCAUGCUCCACACGGGCCUCUUCGGUGGCGGCGACGGCGCCUACCGGGACCACGACUACGGCGUUGGCGCCGGUGCUGCCGCCGGCGAGCCCAAGGGGACAGCGAGGGUCUGAUCGAUGAUCUCCCCGACACGGGGUCACGCAAGAAUAAACGAUAAUACAUACUUGAUGGUCAUUUUGUGUGUGUGACAGUGUGACUGUGAGGCUCUGCCUCUGUGUGC
rnacentral:lncRNA from 1 species